AGAGGGAUUGCUGGGUCAAAUGGUGGUUUCAUUCCCAGAUUUCCAAGGAAUUUUCACACUGCUUUCCAAAUUGGCUGCACCAAUUUGCAGUCCCACCAGGAAU
rnacentral:pre_miRNA from 1 species